AUUCCAUGAUGAGGGCACUUUCGUAAUAAUCUUUUGUACCUUUCCCAUGCCUCAAACAAGGACUCGUCAUCCAUUUGUUGGAAAGUAGUGAUCUAAUUCCUCAACUU